GAAAUGCGAUAAGUAAUGUGAAUUGCAGAAUUCAGUGAAUCAUCGAAUCUUUGAACGCACCUUGCGCUCCUUGGUAUUCCUUGGAGCAUGCCUGUUUGAGUAUCAUGAAAUCUUCAAAGUAAAUCUUCUGUUAACUCAAUUGGUUUCUACUUUGGUAUUGGAGGUCUUUGCAGCUUCACACCUGCUCCUCUUUGUUCAUUAUCUGGAUCUCAGUGUUAUGCUUGGUUCCACUCGGCGUGAUAAGUUAUCUAUCGCUGAGGACACUGUAAAAGGUGGCCAAGGUAAAUGCAGAUGAACCGCUUCUAAUAGUCCAUUGACUUGGACAAUACUUUUAUGAUCUGAUCUCAAAUCAGGUAGGACUACCCGCUGAACUUAAGC
rnacentral:misc_RNA from 1 species